GAGGCUACAGGACAGCCCCAGGCACCCUGUGUAAAAGGUGAGCAGAGGGCACACCAGAUCCACCCAGUGAUUCUGAACAGCACGCCCUGUCCUCAGCCCCACAACCAGGAGCUGCAUUCUCAAAUUCAAAGAGCCAAAACCAAGGCUCAAGCACAAACCGGGCCAGGCUCCCCCGCACUGCCAUGAUACUCCUAUCCCAAGGUCAAGAGGACCAGGGGCUCUGACAGGCUCUGCUCACACCAGUGACUGAUGACACCCUACCUGUCUACAGCUAAAUAAAGGGAGAAACACAUAGGAGGCGGGGUUUGAUGGUUCUGACCCAACCCCCAGGCCAAAAUGCAGGCAAGCACCCCGCCCUCCUAGAACGGCUUACUGUCAGUGCCCUGUAGGCUACUCCUCUGCCCACCGAGAGCCCUGCCUGUCCCCAGCUCCACAACCAACCCCGAUCGUUUGUCACAGCACCAUGUCCCAUGGAUUGCCCAGAGCUGCUACACCAGGCGUGUUAUCAAUGUCACCCCGCUUAAUCCUCAAGCAUCCCCACAGAUACUCUCUAUGGUGAAACAGAAUUCCAGUGCAGCACCUGAGUAAACCCACAUAAAGCUAACCAGCAGGCUCCUCAAAACCCUGGAAAGCGGGAAGUCCCACUCUGAGAGUUCCGGAAGCUUCUUGCCUCUACAAACUCCAGCCCCAAGAUCAGGAUGCAGCACAGGUGCCACCACUGGGCUUUCAGCCUCCAGUCUAAGAACCCACAAACAUGGAGAUAGAAACUCCAGUCCAGCUUACAGCAAGCAGUGCUUAGAACUGUGCUUCACCAGUACAAGGGUCAGAACCACAACUCAAUGUUAUGAAAAUCCCCUCUUGCUCCAGCAGAUACCUCCAAGAUAGGAUGCCAUUUCCCUUCCUCAAAUGAGGCACUCAGUGGCUUCCUACUCGGCACCUGCUCACUGCAGGAUGAUCUGAUUUUCUGCCCGGGUUUCAUAGCAAGUUCACCUCCCUUGGCUGCCUUCACUGCCUCAGAGCUCUUCUGGGUAGGAGAGCUCUCGGUGCUUCCCCAGCCUGAAACAGGCUGGAACGCUACUGCAGUAACUAUGGAGAGAAAAGGACGCAAACUUCAACGAAGGCAGCCACAGCAGGAACUCCAAAGAGGAGACCGACCCACACAGGACGCUGAGGUACCUACUGGCUUCUGGCUUGGUGGACGUGGACAUGUAUCACACUGGUGACAGGCGCUCUGUUCUGCACAUCAGAUCAGCAGAUGAGGAAAGUUACACAACGCCCAGGAAGUGCAUCAAGACUGUGCUGUUUUCACAGGGGCACACUAUGCCAGCUGAUAGGCAAUAUUCGUCUUCUAAAAGCCAAGCUCCUCAAAACAGGCACACAACUGACCCAGCCAUCACUUUGGAAGCUCGGUCCGAGGCACUAGCAUUCCAAGAUCCUGCCACACGAGCCCACCCUAAUGGCACUGUCACAGCAGCACUGCCCCGAAGAGGAAGCAUCGGGCACUGGGCUUGCGAGAAAUAGGGCAGCGGAGCUGCACCCUGAAAAGCUCCUCAGAUGGCGACAACAGCAUUCACUAGCAGGGACAGAUGGACACGGCCAGUUUACCUAGUACAAAACACGGAACAUGUAUGGAGAACAUGUAUGGACAUAAGCAUGUGCCCACUGAUCCGCAUAGACCAGGGAAAAUGCCUGGAAGCUGCCCUCAUGACCCUGUGGCCUUUGCUGGACCAGGGCUCUUCAAGCUACUUUCAAUGAGAAACAAACAAAAGGGACUUUAAAAUGAGGCCCUCCUGGUGAAGCCCUCUCAGAUCUGGGCCACCAUGGCCUGACAUCUUCUGCCAUGCUCCCUCCUUCACGCUUAUCUGAAUUUCUAUCUGACCACCUAUAAGACUCGUAGAAAUGUGCUCAGCUGUUCAACCAUGCAAGGCUCCUUGACCCCACCACAGCAGGCCAUGAUGAACAUGGUGUCUUACCACGUAAGAGGGCGGCAGCCCAGGGGACAGGCCAGAAUUCAAGCGCCGAGGCCACAGCUGGACUCAUCCAGACCUCAGUGGACACCGCCAGUGACGCCUGUCCUAGGGUCUGCCUCCUUCUUGGGCCUUGGAAGUGCACGAAAGGGCUGGGCACUCGAUCACCAGGCCCCAGAAAGGCUUGGCUGGGAAGUAUCCACCCCUCAGCAAGCAGCACCACAGAGACCCCAGGACUGCUCAGUGCCCAGGUGCAGCUGAGGAGGCUCAGACCUCACAGCAACCCAGUUGUUACCGUCAGCACCUUCUGGCUCACAGAGAUAAAGAGAGGGCCAGCAAGGAGUCACAUGACCAGCAAGGAGCAGACCAGCACCCCUGAGACCCUGUAGGCAAGACAGACCUGGAGCCUCAACCUCACGCCCAGAGGCGGCCUGCGCCUCUCCACUGCCCCAUCCCAGGGAAGUGUCAGCAGCGUGCCUGGCGAUGGGUGGCAGGGCUGUUACCAGCCCGAUCUGGAGCCUGCACCUUGGCUGAAGAAGCCCCACACAUCCCACGUGAAGCCAGAGCCCAGAAGCCAGCACACAGACACACACAAGAAACCAGGCUGGGACACGCCUGCGAGAACCCAGGAUUUCAGGGCAGCUUCUCCCUUUGACCUCCCAGACCGGAACAGUACUGUGGCCCUCAUCUCACCUCCAAGACCUCAUUUCACAGAAGAGGACAGAGCACCAAGAGCUUCCAUGGGGUGCCCCAAACCUCACCCUUCCCCAGGGCGGCGUUCCAGCACUCAGGGAGCCCACAGGUCCUGAGAGGCUGGCCAUGGCUGGGGUUGUGAGGUCCACCUGCCCACUGCAGAGGAUGCUCCCUGGAGCAGAGACCCCAUUCCCAAACCAAUCCCCUCAUGGGCUCAAUCCACAUCUGUGACCACAGCAAAGGCAAUGCAGGCAACGUGCAGAUGGGAACGUUCCCUUCCAUGUGGCCCUGGACACAGAGACGGGGCCUGCUGCUCCUGGUCGAGGCAAACAGCUUUAGAAAGCACUUCCCUGUUUGGUGGGAGAAAAUUACAGGCAAGUUUCCUUUCCCUUAACAGUUCAUUGUGUUUCAUUUCCAAAGUGAAAUGAAGAGGAUCGCCUGGUAAAAUGUUAAAGCUUUAAUUUCAAAUCACUUCUAAUGCCCGUUUCAUCUGACAGUGGCUUUGAAAGCAAAAGGCAAUUUUUAUCAUUUGAGGUUUUUAAGUAAAUUGAUGUGAUUAUGUCCAACACAACCAGAUGCUUCUAAAAGCCAAUUUUCAAAGUGACAUCAGCCCCCCAAAUAAGAAAUCUCCUUCUGGCUAUUAAUAAAUUAUUAAAACACUGUCCGCAGGAGAAUGAGGAUGAGCUUGAUCAUCAAUGGCAAACAGGCGGGCUUCAGACUCUCCACACAGACCCACAGCCUGGUCAGCCAUGCAGUACACAGAGGUCCCCGGGCCCCGCUGCAUGCCCUUCCCUCUGCCCCAAGCCCUUGCCACUGCCCAGCAGCCCCAUAGGUUCCACCAGACAGGCUCAGUCCCUCAUGGUAACUCCAUCUUCAGCAGGAGCAGGCAUAAGACUCAGUUCUGGCCAAGGAGGCAUAAGGGGCACAUACUGGCAGUGGGGGUCCUAGGAAAGGCUUUCUUGUGCAGAAAAGAUAAGAAAGAGGCCUCUCCUUUCCGCCUCUGGGUAUGAUGCCUGAGCCUGUAUGGCCCCUCACAGCCACAAUUGAAACCAGAGAAGAGCUGGGGUGUGGGAUUAGAAGAAACACAUGUCUGAUCUUCAUCCCAGGCUCCCUGAAGCCCCUGGGAUUUCCUGAGUGACAGGCAUGUCUCUUGCUAUUCAGAGUGAGCCCCUUCCAAUCACACCUCCAUUCGCGCUGACGUGAUGACUCAGGGUGGGCCUGCUAGUGACAGACAAGCUGUUGCCAAGACCACAUGAGGACUGGCUGGGAAUAUCCCAACCCCAUCACCCACCUCAGGGAGAGGGCAGUGGGGCCCAGAGCCGGGGCUGUGAACACCUGAACAACGCGAUGGCGGAGUGCCCAGGGUUGGAGUACGCCGUGGCACUGUGAGAAGCUGCCUGGAGAGGGCAGGAAGCUCCGCACCCCUCCCCAGCCCCGGCCCUGUGUAGCUCUCCCUUGUGGCUGUUCCUGAGCUGGGUUCUGCACAGUGAACCAAGAAUGGAAAGUCACACACUAUUCUGUGUUCUGUAAGUCAUCAUAGAGAACUUAAAAAACCUGGGGACAGCCCGGCCCUGACCCAGCCCUGCACCAGGGGACAGGCCGGCCUGCGACCCAGCCCUGCACCAGGGGGACAGCCCGGCCCCCGACCCAGCCGUGCACCAGGAGACAGCCCAGCCCUGACCCAGCCCUGUACCACGGGACAGCCUGGCCUCUGACCCAGCCCUACACCAGGGGAUAGCCCGGCCCCCGACCCAGCCCUGUACCAGGGGGACAGCCUGGCCCCCAACCCAGCCCUGCACCAGGGGACAGCCCGGCCUGCAACCCAGCCCUGCACCAGGAGAUAGCCCAGCCCUGACUCAGCCCUGCACCAGGAGAUAGCCCAGCCCUGACUCAGCCCUGUACCAGGAGAUAGCCCAGCCCUGACCCAGCCCUGCACCAGGGGACAGCCUUUGAGGCUCCUGGUCUGUCUCUAGAAUAGGCCCAUAUGGCAUCUGCUUUCCUGUGGUAGUUUCAAUGCAGAUGCUCGCAUGUGCCUGCCUUGUUCUUUGGUGAAGGCUGCUCUGGUCCGUCUGGUUAGUGUGGAACCUUAGGAAAACCAUCUCUCUUCUGAGUCAGUUUUUUCUUCUGUAGGAUAGACCCAGUGAGCGGUUUUUCAGCGAAAUGUCAGGGACAUCCCUGUGCCUGGGGUCUGGCACCACACACUUUAACCUUGACCCUUCAGUGAGUCAGGUGCCCCAAAGCACACCACUUGAGGUGACAGGGAACAGGCCUGUGCCGUACUCACAGCGUGCGGUCUACCUGCAGGCCUGUGGUGGCUGCCCUAGAGACCCUGGCUUGGCUGGUGGCCUCUGCCUGUCCUUUUGGUUCUCAUUCCCCCUCUCUUCUUGAGUGGGACUUUGGCAGGAAAAGAGGGCUUGGCGGCACCAGCCCUGAGAGCUGGGCCACACGGAGGAGCUGGGCCUUCCCGAGGUUGUUGGUGUGGUGCCUGCCUGCAGUGCCCAGACUUGGACGUGAGAUGGUGCAUGUGGCAUGUGCAACCGCUCGCUCCUCUGUGCUCAGCUUAGAACCUCCUCGAGGGGCCUCCUCAGCAGGGAUAGGGGGGUGCCAGGCCUAUACAUUUUGUGGCCAAUUAGAGGGAGAGAUAGAAGUAGGGGGCAUGGCAUGGAGAGGCCUGGGUGAGCGGGCGUCUGUCUCAGGGCCUCCCUCCCUCACGCGGUGCCUUCUUGUUCCUCUGAUAAUUUCCUGAUCGGGGCUAGUGAAGCCCGGGGUUGGUGGAUGUGGACCCCAGGUACCUGUCCUGCCAAUGCAGGGUUCUCUGUGGCCCCCCAGUAUGGUCUGGGGACCUGUCUGAGACAACAUCAUGUUUCAGGCUGCAGCUGCCUGCUGGACCUGAGAUUAAGCCUUGUCUCUCCUGAGAGGGGGUCCAGCCCGCCCUGGCUCCAGGGGAAAGCCUGGGUCAUCAGCAGACAAGGCCAAGGGUCUUGGCUGUACCCUCCAGCACGUGGUGGCUGCUUGGCUUGGAGGGGUCCCCGAAGGCGGGCACUGGCUGGCCCUGUAGGGGUGCAGACAGGCUUUGGCAAGGCCAGCCCUGCUCUAGUGGAUGUCUGACCCUGCUCCCUCCCCAGGCAGAGCCCUCAAGGCAAAAAAAACCACACACUCUUCCAUGGCUGGGCCGGUUCAGCCUCUGCUGCCGCUGGGCUCUGGGGUCUGCCUGGGUGCCCCCGCCUGCUGCUUCAGCCAGCUUGUGUUGCCUCUUUCAGCAAGAUGAGCUGCCGUUAAUAUUUCACACCCAGACGGUUUCCCUGCAUGUUUUGCAUUUCCAUAUUUAAAAUGGCAUUUACAUAUUCAUGAAUUUUUAAAUAAGUUUUUAUUGUUAAGGGAUGUGGAAGUGGAUGAAAUGUGAAACUCCCCCUUUUAUUCAAGUACUAGAAAAAAUUUCAUCCCCAAUGCAAUCACUUUCUAAGUGGUUAGUUCUGUGGCAGUUGCGUAGAUUGUUCUGGAAGCCGGUGGGUCAUAGGGCCACGGAGCCACCCUUUCUGGCAUGUAGAGACUGGUGCUUGCUGUCAGCAUUGCUUCCCACCUGAGGUCGGGCAUGGAGACCUGGUCACUCCUUGGGGUUUCUUCUGGUGGGGGCCUGGCCUUGCACUGGGAUGCGGGGCUGGCUCCCACCCACACCCAUGGCUCUUCUUUUGGAGGAAAUGUCCAAGGCAGACGAGGCUUUUCAUUUUGGAAGUGGCUGAGCCAGGGAUGCCUGGCUCCUCUUCUCCUUUCUCCCCAGUCACUCGGCGUCUCUGCCCUGGUUGGCCUAUUGCUCCUGGCUCUGUGGCUGCGGCCAGAGCCUCAGAGGGUCAGUAAGCCUGGUGCACUCUCCGAUUCUGAGGGGUAGAGGGUGGCACCAGCCCCCUUCACUCUUCAGGGUCCUUUGAGGGUUUUGUGUAAGAACAUGUGUGGGGCAGAUGGGGGCUGUUGGAGGGGUGCUGGAGUUACUGUUUUAGGUUUGGGCACUGAUGAAUGUGGCUGAGCCUUUGCCUCCGGUACACUGGCCUGGGGGAGGCCCAGGGAAAGCCACCAAGGAAUGACAAGAGUGGGAGGCCCUGGGAGAGGUGUCCACAGGGGCCUCCUAGGCCAGGAGGCUGUGUGAGCUGAUCUGGAGCCAAGCACAGGUCACAGAGGGAGGCAGUGGAGGAGUUGAGGGCUUUGGAAGCCACAGGAGCGUAGCCCUGGCCACUUGGCCCAUGGCGUGCCAUGCCGCAGUGGAGCAGGGCAAGUGCUGUGGGGGUCCAAAUAAUAGACCAUAAAAACAGGGAAACUGAGGCCCACACCAGGGGAAGAGACUCCACCCUGGGCGAUGGAUGGAGUCAAACCUACGGCACAGAUUUUUCUGAUCUCUAUUGUUAUUUACUUCUUAAUAUUUUUAGGCGUAAAAUUAUUUUUUAUCAUUUCAGGCCUAAAUAGCCCACAAAACCUUAGGCUCGAGGAUCAGGGGAAAGUGUGGUCUGAACUGCAACUGACAUCUCCACACAGAGCCCCUCACACUGGCCUUUGCUGGAGUGAUCUGGGCAGGGUCUCCCAAAGCCUGGCUGCCUUUUCAAAGGACAGCGACUGGUUUUCUCUGUGGCUGUGGGAGUUCUCAGCAGUCUGCCUUUGGCCCCAGCCCCUGGCAGCUUCCCCUAGCAUAAGUAUUGUGUUUUCCAUACUCUCAGGGCACUGGGUUAUUGGUGGUAGCUGGUUCCUCCUGAGACGAGAGGCAGGACACAGCUCAAGGCUGUGGCCCCUGGGGGCAUGACCAGGGGAGUCACCCUUACUGCUGAGGGUGGGGACAUCUUGGUGUGCAGCCCGGGCUGCCAGCUGACCUGUCUUGGCAAGCCCUGGACUGAAGCUUGUGAGCUUGGAGGGAGGGUGGUCCUGUGAGCUGGUGGCGGGGAGGAAAGUGGGGGUGCGGGGAGGGUGGUCCCAUCGGUUUCUGUGAGUACACCGCUGGCUCAGGGGUUCGGGCGUGUGCUCCCCUUGGCGGCCAGGGGGCUAAGGCUGUGGCUGUGGUGUAGGGUGCUUCUUGGGGGUUGGGCCCUCCUUAACAGUCCUCGCCCUGUCUAGGUGGACUGGCCACUCAGGAGGCUGAGGCAGCCUCGCCUGCUAGUCCUUCUUGCUGCCGGCCUCGGUGCUGGAGUGUUUCUUCGGAGGAAGCCUGCCUGUUCGGCUGGGAGCUUGGGCCUCCCCAGUGCAUGUUGACCCCAGCUGAGAGGUGUUCUCCUUGCUUCUCCUGCUUUUCAUCUAGAAAAUCAGGCCCAAGACUCUUGCUUUGCAAGAUGAGUGGAGAAUUGGGAGAUUUCAGAAGUUCCUGACAUCAAGCAGGUGCUUAGGGAAUGGCGGCUUUAUUUGUAAGAGUGGGAUCUGUGGGGUCUGUAGAGGGCCCCGUCACUGGUCCUGCUCACUUGACCCCUGAGCCUUUCUUUCUCGUCUGUAUUGGAGUCAAUUCUACCCUUGAUAGAUUUCUUUGAAGGGUACUUGCAGCCUUCCUGUGGGAGGGCUGAGGAGUGCUGGCCUUCCUCUUAGCACUUGCUUGGCCCCUGGGUAUGGGGUUCUCAGAGUGAGGUGCUGCAGGCGACGACAGCGAGGCCUUUGGGAGGGGAAGAGUCCAUCUGCUGCCUCCCCGCAGGCCAACUUAUCUUAACAGGCCAGAAGUUUGUGUCUGGCACGAGUCUGGGGAUUCAUGCCCCAAAUCCCCACCUCUUAAUGUGCCUUUCCUUCAGUUCUGUCAAUAGGACCUGUUUUCCAUCCUCUCCUUGCUGAAGUGCUUAUCUCCCCAGGCCACUUGGUCUGGUGCUCGCCUCUCCAUGGUUCUGAAGGCGCCUCACUUCAUUAGGCUGAGUGGCUCUGGACUAAGUGCACCUGCAGAGGUGACAGCCCCCACUGCCUGCCUCUACUGAGCACUGCUGCAGCCAGGACGGUGGCUGGGGAGCAUGUCCCCUGGGGCAGCAGAUGCAUCCCCUUCCUAUCUCCUUCCCUUUGAACCCUGUACGUACCCCUGCAUCCUCUCAUCCUCUUUAGCAAGUUAAAAAAAAGCUGGCAUUUCCUCCCACUCCAGGAAACACUUUGUAGCAGCAGUCUCAGCCUGCGAUGUUGGGCUGCCUGGUGGCAGUGAGAGCGCAGCGUGGGUGCGUACCCAGAGGAAGGGCCCAGGACUCAUGGCUCUGUGCUCGGAUUGUGAGCUGGCCUGUGCCAUCAGCACAGAAAUCUGUUGUCAUAUUGGUGUUGCGCCCUCUCAUAGUUGCCCCACGUGUCCGCCUCCUGCUUGGCACCCCCUCUGUGGAGCUUCAGGGCUGGAGGAGCACAAUUCAGAAACCGCUGGUCAGGAGACCUUUCCUGGAGAAGUUCCUGUUCUGGUUGUGGAUCUGGCCUGUGUGGGAGCCCGAGGUGGCAUCUUUGAGGUGACUUGGGACUGCUGGGAAAGCUCUCUUUCUCCUGGCAGAGGUUUUCAGGCACUGCCAUGGCACGAGCCUGUUUAUACCUGGGACCAGAGUGGGCGUGUGCAAGCCACAGAAGGGAAGAAGGAAACAGCAUGGGUCUGUCACUCACAUGGGCCGAGCAGAGUGGUAACGUUUCUGCCGUUUGUGACAUUUCUAUUAGAGGGCAGAAUAUUCCUGACCUCAGCUCCCUAGAUCAGAAAACGGCAUUUGGAGAGCUGUAUACGUUUGAGAAGAGGGUGUCAGGGUCAGUUCUGUCCUUUGAAAGCAAACAUCUUUGUUGGCCCCCAGAAGGUGGUAGUAGAAUCUAGAUUUCCUCAAACAUUUGGAGAAAAAACAAAAAUGACUACUAUUUGAAUGUUGUUGGUUGUUGCUUUAAGAAGGGAAUAGGGAGAUGGGAGAAGGGCCCUUGCUUGGGUUCUCCCUAGGUCUUUUGCUGCCCUGAGCUUCUGUUUCCUUGCUUAUUUAGAAGGGGUUUGCGUGAGCGUAGCCCCAGGAGAGCAGCCCACACCCCAUAGCGGGAGCCUAGUGCAGGGCCAGGGCUACCAGGAACUGCUAUCUGGGGAGGCUCCCCAGUCAUUGAGGCCUUCUCUCUCACUCCUGGCCCUGCUGAGCCCAGGGCAUCAUCAAUGGACUUGGAAGCAUCCUCUUAUGAACGCUCUUCUUGAGUUUCCUGGUAACUUCCUGUGAACUUCGUAAGUUCUGAGCCAAGAGCUUCCUUAGCCUUGACGCUGGCCGCUGCUGGCCCCUUUCCAUGCCCAAGCCCAGGAAAACACAUGCAUCGAUUCUUGGUGUGUGGGUGUGGAGAGCAAUUCCAAUGUCAUCAGGUGAUUUGAGUACGCUUUCCUUCCUUGUUUGGCAGAGCAUAAAAUCAGUCUCCAGCCCUCCCACGGUGGCCUCCACUGCUCAGCCCCAGGAGAUGCCAGGAGAUGGGGUGGCCCCCACUGCGGAGUGCACCUGGCUCAGGGUCUGCUUGUGGAGAAGUGUGGCUUCUGGAAGGGGCAGGCUUUGGGCUGGUGAGUGGACCUGGUCUGAGGGAGGGUGCUGGUGUUGCCAGCAUCCUGAGCUUGAGGUGGUGCCAUGGACCUGGAAGGGUCUCUGGACCCUGUUAGGAAACUGGGUAAGAGAAUAGGAACAAAGAAACAUCCGCUUGCUAGACACCUGUGGGUACCAGGCACGCCACACGUAUCCCCCUGCCCUGGCACUGACCCUGCACACUGGCGGGGGGGGGGGCCUCUCACUUUGUCUCGGUUUCCCCAAGGUUGUGGAGCUCCUCAGCCUAGAGUCUGCUUGUGAGCUCAGGGCUGGCUGUCUCCUAAGCCUGUGCCCUUUAACCACGUUGCCUCUCAUUGGGCAAUGCUUUUUCAAGCUUGGUCAAUCACAGGUCACUUCCUCAGAGCACGAGGCUUCUGAUGCUGACGCUUUUUUAAAUACUGUGGCUGAGAAACGCUGUUGCGCAGAGUCUAUAGGAGGAGCAGUGUUGAUGUUGCUCUGACUGGCGGUGCUGGUCAGCAUGGGACAAGUGCGGGUUCCUGUUUCUGCCUCAUUGUGCUUAGAGUAGACAUAGGGGCUCCAGGGGAAGGAAGGCUGUGACCACUGCCCUGAAGGAGCUUUCCCCCUGUCUGGGAAGAGAAACCAGAAGUGAAUCCCUUAGAGGACUGGAGAGCGUUGGGCUACCUGGUCUUGAUCAUGGCCAUGCUUCCCACAUGCCUUGCUGCUUAUGAAUUAUAUGGAGAAACUAGCCUGAAAAUGGAGAUCCUGGGGCUCACCUGCAGAGGCUUAGAUUUAGGGCUCUUUGCUGAGGCCAUUGCUUCCUUCAUGAGUGGACUUUUCCCUUGGGCCUAGGAUGUGGGCUCACAUGUCACCAUGAGAGGUGGUGGGCACGAGUCCUGCACAGCUCUGUGAGAGGCGGCGAGAGCUGGUGGGUAAUUGUCCUGAGCAUCGCUGUGAGAGCAGGGGGAGGGGGGCAAGAGUCCCACACUUGCCCACCACCUGCACCUUCCUCUGCAGCAGCAUUGCCCUCACUUGUUGGUCUAGGCCUUUUAAACAAUAAACAAUUAUCUAUCAGUAUUUACUGUCUUUGGAAAUUAAAAUUAAAACAUUAUUUACAAUUUAUAACCUCAUUAAAAACAAUUCAUUAUCAGUUGACAAAAUAUAUUUAUGAAAAAUGUAUUUUCUAACACAAAAUGAGAUAUAGUGAGAGGAAUGGUAUUGUUUUUUUAUUUUCCACAAAUCUCUUCAGUGUCUGGUGAAAUAGAAGACAGAGGCUUCUCGUGUCUGUGUCUGUUUCCAUCUGCUGUGGUCUCUUCUGAGUCUGUGGAAUAAGUCUGGCUCCACAUGGGUGUGCAGUUGGAGGAAGGAGGGCCUGGUGGCCUGAGGGCCCCCCACCCACAUGCUCUGCUCAGCCUUGCUUGCUGGGUGGCUGCAGGGCUGAAGGUAGGAGCAUUCGCUGUUCCUUGAUACCGUUCAUGGUUAGUCCCACCUUUCUGGGUAGUGUUUGUUCAAAAUUCUGAUUAGAGUGUAGGGGGCAUUUUGUGUUUGUUGAACAUGAACAUCAUUAGUGAACAUUAGUCAUUGACUGUCUGGGAAGGUUUCCUCAGUUGUGGUUUUUCUGGAAAAGGUGUGACUUGUGUAUCCUAGAAAAGGCCCAAUUUGCAGCAUUCUGGGCGGUUGAAGGAGGAUGGCUCAGCCUGUAAACGGCAGAGCUGACUUCCUUUAGGCGUUCUUGCCCUAGAUGAGCAGCAGGGGUGGCCCCGGGGCCUGGAGAUUGCGCCCAACUGAUUUCUGGUGGAGCCAAGAACUUGGGCAGCCACAAGAUGCUCUCUGGGAACCCCACAGAUCUAAGACUAGUCCCUAAUAAGAGAGGGUGGCCUCCCCAGAGAGUGUGUGCAGCUGCUGGACACACAUGGGCUCUAGUGACCGGUCCUGUUUAAAUGGGCAGAUUUUUCUUUUUGUUGUCAUAGAGAAACUAAUUUCUUAUUACCUGUCAGCUAUUUUCUUCUUUAAACCAAAUAAGAAACUGGAAGCUUUCUCACUAAGAUCAGGCACGAGACAAGGAGUCCCACUCACUGUUCCUAUUCACUGUCGUACUGGAAGUCCUAGCUAGUGCAGUAAGACAAGAAGAGGGAAUAAAGGAAGGAAUAAAUAAAACUGUCUUUGUUUGAAGAUGACAUGAUCAUCUAUGUAGAAAAUUCUAAGAACAAAAGAACUUGUAGAAUAAUGCAUGGUGAGAACAGGGUUGCAGGAUGCAUGGGUAAUACACACCUGUCAGCUGCUUUCCUGCAUACCAGCAAUGAGCAGAGGGAAUUUGAAAUCAAAACACAGUACCAUUUACAUUAGCACCAAAAGAUGCCUUAGACACACAGGCCUGUAUAGGAUAUGUGUGAGGAAAUCACAAGACCCUGAUGAAAGAAAUCAAAGGUGUAAAUAAAUGCAGGGCAUUCUAUGUUCAUGGAUAGGAGGACUCAGUAUAAAUGCAGAGGCAUUCUAUAUUCAUGGAUAGGAGAACUCAGUAUAAAUGCAGAGACAGUCUGUGUUUAUGGAUGGGAGGACUCACUAUUAUCAAGGUGUCAGUUCUUCCUAAUUCUCUCUAGAGGUUUCAUGCAGUCCCAGUCAGAAUCCCAGCAAGUUAUUUUUGUGGAUACCAACAGAUUCUAAAGUUUUUAUGGGAAGGUAAAGGUGGCAAUGCCUAGCACAACACUGAAUAACAAAGUCAGAAGAUUGACACUCCCCGACUUCAAGACUUAAUGUAAAACCACAGUCAUCAAGACAGUGUAAUGUUGAUGAGAGAAUGGACAAAUAGGUCUGUGGAACAGGUUGGAGAGCCUCAAAAUAGACCUCCACAGAUAUAGUCGGCUGAUCGUGUGCAGCAGAGCAAAGGCAGCUCAGAGGAGAAUGGUUUUUUCAGCAAAUGGUGCUGGCACAGUGAAACAGCCACAGGGAAAAACCUAGACACAGACCUUACAUCUUUCACAAAAAUCAACUCAGAAUGGGUCACACACCUAAGUGUAAAGCACAGCACUUUAAAACUCGUAGAAGAUAACAAGAGAAAUAUCUAGCUGACCUUUGAUUUGGCAGUGACUUUUCAUAUACAACACCAAAUGCACAAUCUGUGAAAGAAUUGAUGAGCUGGACAUCAUUAAAAUUAGAAAUUGCUGCUCUCUGCAAAGGAAACUGUCGAGAAUAAAAAGAGAAGCCACAAAUGGAGAAAAUAUUUUUCAUUGUCAUGCAAAAGACACAUCUGAUAAGGGCUGUUAUCCAAAUCAUACAAAGAACUCUUCAAACUCAGUGGUGAGGAAACAGACCACUCAAAUAAAAGAUGGAUGAGAUCUGAACAGGUGCCUCACCAAAGCAGAGAUACAGGUGAUGGAGAAGCAUGUGAGGAGAUGCUCAGCAUUGCAUGCCAUUAGGGAGUGAAAGCACCCAGAUCUCACCAUAUGUGCUUAGAACGUGGUCGGCAGCAAAUGCUGGUGGGACAUGGAGCAACAGGAACUCUUGCCAUUGCUGUGGGAAUCCAAAAUGGUGCUGCAGCCACUUUGAAGGUAGUUUGGCAGCUGCUUAGAAAAGGAAACAUUCUGUACAGUCUAGCUCUGUGCCCCUUGGAAGUUGUCCAAGUGCGUUGAAAACUUAUUUUCACACACAAACCUGCACAUGAGUGUUUCUGGUAGCUUUAUUCAUAAUCACCAAAAUGUGGAAGUGACCGAGAUGUCUGUCUCAGUCUGUUUUUGUGUUGUUAUAAAGGAAUAUGUGAGUCUGGGUAAUUUAUAAAUAAGAGGCUUUUUUGGCUCAAGGUCCUGCAAGAAGCAUGGCGUCAGCACCUGGCUUCUGGUGAGGGCCUCAGGCUGCCUCCAUUCGUGGUGAGAGAGGGGAGCUGGCACCACAUGGUGAGGAGGAAGGAGGAACGCAGGGAGACACCAGGCUUCCUGUGACAAUUAGCUCUCCUGGGAACCGAUCAAGUGAGGACUGCUAUUUAGCAUGAGCCAUCAUGAGCCCCCAUGGCCCAAAACCCUCCUCUCAGGCCCUGCUUCCAACCCUGGGGAUCAGAUGUCAGCCUGAGAUUUGGAGGGGUCAGGAACCACAUGGUAACAGUGUCCUUCCAUAGGUGAAUGGAUAAACGGUGGUAUGUCCGAUAGAAUACUAUUCUGUGCUAAAAAGAAAUGAGCUAGCAAGCUGUGAAAAGACUUGGAAGAACCUUAAAUGUAUAUUGCAGAGUGAAAGAGGACGAUCCGCAAAGGUGGUGUACUGUGGGAUUUCUACUCCAUGAUAUACAGGAAAAGACAACUGUGGACACAGUAAAAAGUAAAAAGUGGUUGCCAGGGAUGGAUGGGAGGGAUGCAUAGGCAGACCCAGACAGUUUUUAGGCAAUGAACCGACUCUGCACGUGGCUAUGAUGAUGGACACGCUGUCUUAUGCCAGGGUGAACCCACUCUACUCUGCACAUGGCUGUGAUGGUGGACACGCUGUCUCACGCAGGAGUGAAUUGACUCUGCCUGAGGCCAUGAUAGUGGACGCAGCCUCAUGCAAGAGUGAACCCAUUCUACUGUGCAUGUGGCCCUGAUGGUGGACACACUCUCUUAGGCGGGAGUGAACCUACUCUACUCUGCAUGUGGCCCUGAUGGUGGACACACACACUCAAGCGGGAGUGAACCCACUCUAUUCUGCAUGUGGCCCUGAUGGUGGACACACACUCUCAAGUGGGAGUGAACCCACUCUACUCUGCACGUGGCCGUGAUGAUAAACACGCUCUCUCAUGUGGUAGUGAACCCACUCUACUUUGCAUGUGGCAAUGAUGGUGGACAUGCAGUCUCACGUGGGAGUGAACUCACUCUCCUCUGCAUGUGGCCCUGAUGAUGAACACUCUCUCACGCGGGAAUGAACCCACUCUACUCUGCAUGUGGCUGUGAUGGUGGACACACAGUCUCACACAGGAGUGAACCCAUUCUAUUCUGCACGUGGCUUUGAUGGUGGACACGCAGUCUCAUGCAGGAGUGAACCCAUUCUACUCUGCAUGUGGCUGUGGACAAACUCUGACGCGUGAAUCAACCCACUCUACUCUGCAUGUGGCUAUGAUGGUGGACAUGCAGUCUCACACGGGAGUGAACCCAUUCUACUCUGCACAUGGCCGUGAUGGUGGACACGCUCUUUCUUGCGGGAGUGAACCCACUCUGCACGUGGUUGUGAUGGUGGACACGCAGUCUCACACAGGGACUGCAGAGAUGCAUUUCUCCAAACCUGAGAAGGUAAGACAUGACAAGUGAGCUGCGUGUCAGCUGUGGACUUUGGUUCAUAACAGCAUGUCCACAUCAUUUCAUCAGCCGUGACAAAUGUACUGCAGCUGUAUGUGGUGCAGGGGAAUCUGCCUGGGGCUGAAGGGUAGAUGAGAGCUCUCAUUUCUGCUCAGUUUUUCUGUAAACCUAAAAUUGCUC